GAGGAGGUCAGAAUUGUUCAGCAUAAACAUUUUCCAAUCUUGAGAAGUCAGCCGGAUACCAAGGGUUGCUUCUCAUUGUUUCAUAAUCGAUGGAGGAGCACCUUGCAUCCUGUGCUGAAUCAAGGCAUCAAUGUGUGAGAGGGUUCUUGGAACCUUGGAGGGGGAAGUCGCACCAUAUAAAAUAAAGUUAAGUCCCUAGAGAUCCAGAAUAGGAUGACCUUAACCUUCUGUAAGUUGGUGCAAACUGAGAAAGCUUCUAAGAAAGUUAGGGAAUGAUCCCCAGAUAUGUGUUGUGAAGAGAAUAUUAACUUUAUUAAAAUGUCUAUUUACUCUGCAUAACUAUAAUCAGUAUUAUUCAUAAGUUACUUAAAAUGGCUGCUAGGGAGUUACCCCUCCCAUCGACUAACCACCUCAAUUAACAAGAUGGCGCUGGAAUCUGGAGGAGAGAUCCAUGAUGACAGUGACAUCACACCCAGUAGGGUAUACAUUAGAUGAACCACUUAACACCUAACCAAUUAUUGAUGUAUUUUC